rnacentral:rRNA from 1 species
AUUGAACGCUGGCGGCAUGCCUUACACAUGCAAGUCGAACGGUAACAGGUCUUCGGAUGCUGACGAGUGGCGAACGGGUGAGUAAUACAUCGGAACGUGCCCGAUCGUGGGGGAUAACGAAGCGAAAGCUUUGCUAAUACCGCAUACGAUCUACGGAUGAAAGCGGGGGAUCUUCGGACCUCGCGCGGACGGAGCGGCCGAUGGCAGAUUAGGUAGUUGGUGGGAUAACAGCUUACCAAGCCGACGAUCUGUAGCUGGUCUGAGAGGAUGAUCAGCCACACUGGGACUGAGACACGGCCCAGACUCCUACGGGAGGCAGCAGUUGGGAAUUUUGGACAAUGGGCGCAAGCCUGAUCCAGCCAUGCCGCGUGCAGGAUGAAGGCCUUCGGGUUGUAAACUGCUUUUGUACGGAACGAAAAGGUGCCUUCUAAUAAAGGGCGCUCAUGACGGUACCGUAAGAAUAAGCACCGGCUAACUACGUG